ensembl:lncRNA
CCCCUUUUAAGCCACCCAGUGAUCUCACAUUACUUCAUCCAGCUGUACUAAUCAUCAACAACAGGUGUGUUCGGGAAACCGGAUUAGCGAGCUCAAAGUUGGCGCGAUGAUUUGAUCUUGGAUGUGUCAUUUGAUCUUGGAUGUAGUAAGCGAGGUACGAAGAACGGACCCCUGGACUUUACCAAGGUGCUCACAGACAUGCUCAACAAAUAUGCUUCACAGGGCAUAUUUCAGAAGAGCAUACAUAAAAAGAAAGAUCAAAGUUUUCUUGGCACUCGUGAGAUGGUGGUUAUAAACCCAGGCUGCGAGCCAUAGUCAGAGCGUAAUGCUUGCAAUACUUGGCACACAGACAACAACAGAACCACAGACAACAGCAGAUCCGGUGGGACUUGUGGCCUGCCUCUCUCCACUUUGUUUUGCCAGGUCUCCUACACCUGAAUGCCAAACUGAAAAUGCAGAUCCUCAUGCAUCAACCCAGCACCUCAACCUACUGAGCAGAAUGUGAUAGCCAACUGUAUCAAAAGUUGAGUUUGCAGAGUGCAUCUUAAAAGAUGUUCCAAUAGAGUUUGAGGACUCUGCUUCAAGUAUUGCAAGUCUGAGACAA